AAGGCGAGGCUGAAAAGCGUAGUCGAUGGGAAACAGGUCAAUAUUCCUGUACCGAUUCUAGAUGCGAUGUGGGGACGGAGAAGGUUAGGUCAGCCGGGUGUUGGACGUCCCCGGUUUUAAGCGUGUAGUCGUGCCUGGUAGGCAAAUCCGCCGGGCUUAGAUGAGGCGUGAUGACGAGGAGCUACGGCUCUGAAGUGAUUGAUACCCAGCUUCCAGGAAAAGCCACUAAGCUUCAGUCUAGAACGACCGUACCGCAAACCGACACAGGUGGGCAGGAUGAAAAUUCUAAGGCGCUUGAGAGAACUCAGGAGAAGGAACUCGGCAAAUUGACACCGUAACUUCGGGAGAAGGGUGUGCCCCGGUAGGUUGUAGUCCCUGCGGACGAAGGCCGAUGGGGUUGCAGUGAAAUGGUGGCUGCGACUGUUUAAUAAAAACACAGCGAC
rnacentral:rRNA from 1 species